GGUCUUCAUCAGCUCAGCCUACACCUAUCGCUUCAACAGUUAGCACCACUUCUAGUAUGACAAUGAUUGCUGAUACGAUGAUGUAUCAUACAAUGAAGGAGGAGCUUAUUAGACACCAGGAAGCAACCCAAUUCUGGUAUCAAUGCUAUCAGAUGAGCGAACAUGAUAGGGUUGUGCUUCAGGGAGCACUAAAUGCUAUGCCUGGAGGUCCUCUUAAUCCUAUAAUAGUACCAGGUGAUGUUCAAGAGGAAGAAGAGGAGGAUCCAGAGGAAGUAGAACUAGAGGAACAGGAAGAAGUUGAGGGAGUAGAGAACCCAAAUGAGCCACUAGUUCCACCCUCACCAAACGUACCACCUACACCACCCCAGCCGCUACCUGAACAUAUAGUUGAACCAGAACCAGCCCUACAGCCAGAUAUAGAGCAGCAGCAGCUACCCCACUUCCCUAUUCCACGACCACACCAACCUGACUUUAUCCACCCACACAUGAGUGUCAGCUCGAGGGAGUACAGGGAGGCUGCUACCUAUGCAAGGGUACUUGGGCUUGGCGCGAGUGACAGUGGCGGAAGCAAUUGAAGUGGCAGCGGUAGCAACAAUGGCGGUGGCAGCGGCAUCGCCUAAUCAAGUUCCAAUCUUCCAGACUCUUAGGCGUGGGACGCCUUGGCCAUAGACUAAUCUUUUGGGAUCAGCAGUAGUUAGUGUAGUGGCAGCCUGAAUAUGUGUGUUUAUGUAAGAUAUGUGUGAAUUGCAAGGUAGAGUUUGUCCCCUAUGUACUAGUAGGGACUGAACCCUAUGUGGUGUGUGCUCUAGUUGUAAUGCAGUUAUGCCCUUAAGCAAGACUUAUGUGAUGUACUGAUUGUAAUAUAAGUGCUUGUUCUAUAGUAUAUAACUUGUGUGCAUUAGGAGGCUCAUAGUACCUUACUAUUGUGUGCUUUAGUGAGUAAUCAGAGUGGUAUCAUUCUGGUUAGCAAGAGGCAUUUGCCACCAUGAUUGCACUUCAUGUUGGGUUACUGCAAAUUUAAGGACAGCAUGCUGUUUAUUGGUAUCACUUGCACUUGUGCUUGCUGAUUUGAAUCAAUAAUCAUGCAAAGAAGUAACCAACUAACUAGAAAAAAAAUGCGGGAUGAAUAACAAUGGUUUGACUGAGCAAGACCUUGUCUUUCGUUUGGGAUCAAGUGCCCAUGAUCAGCAUGGGGGUACUCCAGUUUCAGAAAAUCAAAGUGCCCUACCCGGAGCGGCGCAACUUCCAAGCAAUCCAGAAGUGGGCAAUGCUGGAACUUCUGGACUUAUGGGUGGAGAAGGCAAUCUAGGAGAUGUCCUUAAGUUCAUGGAGAAUUCUCGAAGGGAGUCUCAAGAGAACCAGAACCGCUUCCUCGAAGGGAUACUGACAAGACUAGUUCCUGGAGGAGCACACCUACCCGGUGCAGGAGUUAGCUUGGGAGAAUUUUUGAAAACUCAGCCACCCACAUUCUCCAAGGCGGUGGAUCCACUAGAGGCAGAUGACUGGCUGUUAGAAGUAGAACACAAUCUGGAAACCGUGGGGUGCUUAGAUGAAGAGAAGGUGAGAUAUGCAUCACACCAGCUAACCGGACCAGCAACAGCUUGGUGGAGAAAUUUCAGCCUUAACCGAGCAAAUAAUCAGCCUAUCACUUGGGAGGAGUUCAAGGAGAAUUUCCGUCAGACCCAUAUUCCAAAGGGAAAGAUGGAUAUAAAAAAGAGGGAGUUUCGCAAUCUGACUCAAGGUAGCAAGAGGAUAAACGACUACCUAAACCAGUUUAAUGAUUUGGCAAGAUAUGCUCCAGAUGAUGUGAACACUGAACCUAAGAAAGUGGAGGAGUUUAUGGAGGGGCUGCAUCCAUUCCUGAAAAUGCACCUCUCAAUUCACGGGAUCACCCAGUUUCAAGACCUUGUCAACAGGGCCUUCAUACUUGAGAAUGAGCAUGCCAACCUAAGUGAAGAGAGAAGGAAGAAAGCAAGGGUAGAUCCACGCCCCAUGAUGCAUCACCCACAUCCUAUGAUGCCUGGACCAAUGCGUCCUCAUAUGCCACCACCACGGCCUAGAUUUCCUACUCAGCCAAUCUUUGUUCCUAAAUGUGGGAAGUGUGGAAAAGGUCAUGCUACUCGAGAUUGUAUGACGGGUACAGGACUUUGCUUCAAUUGUGGGAGACUAGGACACCACAAGCUCAAUUGCACCUCUCCUCCCACGAAUCCUACAAGGCCACCUAUACAGCAGACUCAAGUGCAUCGUCCACCAGCUGGGCGAGGACAAGGCGGACCUAUGAACUAUGCAGCAAGAGGAGAUGGGCGGGGAGGACAAGUAGGAGGACAACCAAGGCUGAAUUAUAUGGCUGCAGAGCAACUAGGAGAAGCUACAGAUGUUGUCAUCGGUAAACUACUCAUUCCUCCUUCAGUUGGUACAGUUCUUUUUUAUACCGGUGCCACACACUCAUUUAUUUCCCAAGAUUUCGUGAAUAAGAAUGGAUUAACAUGCACACCGUUGGAAAAGGCUUUAGGAGUUAACUCACCUGGAGGGAAGAUUACAGUAGAGGCAAUGCGCAGAAAUCAACCAAUAAUAAUCCACAACACCAAAUUUUCAGCAGACCUGCAUGUUAUAGAGAUGUCAGGGUUAGAAAUAAUCCUUGGGAUGGAUUGGUUAGCUGCUAAUGGAGUAAAAGUAGAUUGUGAACUUAAAAGUGUAUCCAUAAGGAAGUCUGAUGGCUCUAGGCUGAUAUAUUUUGGAAGUAGAACCAGACCCAACAAUCCCUUAGUAAUGGCAGCAAGUGGACAAAAGAAAGAAAUAAAUGAUAUACCUGCAGUUUGUGAGUUUCCUGAUGUAUUUCCGGAUGAACUGCCGGGUAUGCCGCCUGAUAGGGAGUUAGAGUUCAGCAUUGUUUUAAUGCCUGGGGCAUCACCCAUCUCCAAAAGACCCUACAAAAUGUCACAGCCAGAGUUAGUGGAGCUAAAGAAACAAUUGGAUGAGCUGAAGGAAAAAGGAUUCAUUAGGGAAAGCAUGUCACCAUGGGGAGCACCAGUAUUAUUUGCAGAGAAAAAAGGAUGGAGGGUUGAGGCUAUGCACAGAUUUUCGAGACCUUAACAUGGUAACUGUAAAGAAUAAGUAUCCGUUACCGAGAAUAAAUGAUUUAUUUGAUCAACUCAAGGGUGCAUGUGUCUUCUCGAAAAUUUACUUGAGAUCUGGAUAUCACCAAAUGAAAGUGAAGGAAGAGGAUAUUGAGAAGACGGCAUUUGUAUCUCGAUAUGGACACCAUGAGUACAUUGUGGUUCCAUUCGGUCUAACUAAUGCCCCAGCUAUGUUCAUGAACUUGAUGAACAAGAUUUUUAUGCAAUAUUUGGACAAGUUUGUAGUGGUCUUUAUUGAUGACAUAUUAAUAUAUUCAAGAAGCAAGGAAGAGCAUGCUGAACACUUGAGGAUAGCACUUCAAAUCUUAAGAGAGAAUCAGUUGUAUGCAAAAUUUAGUAAGUGUGAGUUUUGGCUGGACCAAGUAGCUUUCUUGGAGCACAUAAUUUCAGGAAGAGGAGUUGAGGUUGACCCAUCCAAAAUUGAGACAGUUGUGUCUUGGGCUCGUCCGACCAACCCAAGUGAGAUAAGGAGUUUCUUGGGCUUUGCUGGAUACUACCGCAGAUUUAUAAAAGGGUUUUCGCAGAUUACAGCACCAAUCACCAAAUUGCUUAGGAAAGAAGCUAAAUUUAUUUGGACUGAAGAGUGUGAGAGAAGUUUUGAGGAACUAAAGAAAAGGUUAACUACCGCACCAGUGUUGGCAUUACCUAAAAGUGGACAAGAUUAUGUGGUGUAUUGUGAUGCUUCAAAAUCUGGACUAGGAUGUGUUCUGAUGCAAAAUGAUAGAGUGAUAGCCUAUGCUUCUAGGCAAUUAAAGACACAUGAAGUAAAUUACCCUACCCAUGACUUGGAGUUGGGAGCUGUUGUGUUUGCACUGAAAACAUGGAGGCACUACCUAUAUGGUUCUAAGUGCACACUGUAUAGCAACCACAAGAGUCUCAAAUACAUAUUUACACAAAAAGAGUUGAACAUGAGGCAGAGGAGGUGGCUGAAACUAAUCAAGGAUUAUGAUCUGACAAUUAACUACCACCCUGGUAAGGCAAAUGUAGUGGCAGAUGCACUUAGUAGAAAGAAGCAAUGCAACCACAUAUCAAUUGAAGGGUAUGGCAAAGAGCUACUGCAGGAUCUUGCAAAGAUGGGAAUAGAGCUGAGAGAGGCCACAUCUAGUGCUAAUAUAGCAGCCAUGACAUUUCACCCCACAUUGCUAGAUCAGAUUAAGGAAAAGCAAGCAAUGGAUGCAUUCAUCAAGGAGGAAACGAGAAGAAUUCAAGCGGGACAACCUUCACAAUUCAGGUUGGACCAGGAAGGAGUUCUUUGGAACCAUAGUAGGAUAUGUGUGCCAGAUGACCUACAGAUCAAGGAAAUUAUUUUGCAUGAAGCUCAUGACACUUUGUACACUAUCCAUCCUGGGAGCACGGAGAUGUAUAAGGAUGUGAAGGGAAAUUUUUGGUGGCCUGGUAUGAAGAGGGAAAUCGCAGAAUAUGUCAGCAAGUGUGACACUUGUCAGAGGGUAAAAGCGGAGCAUCAAAGGCCUGACGGGUUAUUAAAGCCAUUAGAGACACCAGAGUGGAAAUGGGAAGAUCUUUGUAUGGAUUUUAUUACUGGUUUGCCUAUGACACCGAAAAAGAAGGAUACUAUAUGGGUUGUGGUCGACCGACUCACUAAGUCAGCACACUUCAUUGCUACAAACCAGAAAUAUUCCUUUGAUAAGUUGGCUGAACUGUACUUAGAGAGGAUAGUUACCCUCCAUGGUGUGCCAAAGACCAUAACGUCUGACCAAGGUUCCGUGUUUACAUCAAGCUUUUGGAAGAGCCUACAAAAGUCUCUUGGAACUGAGCUCCACUUUAGCACGGCUUAUCAUCCCCAAACUGAUGGCCAGACAGAGCGGGUAAAUCAGAUCCUUGAGGAUAUGUUGAGAGCAUGUGUAAUGAACUUUGGAGAAUCAUGGGAUAAGCAUCUACACCUAGCAAAAUUUGCUUACAAUAAUAGUUAUCAAUCCAGCAUACAAAUGGCUCCAUAUGAGGCAUUGUAUGGGAGGAAAUGCAGAUCACCUAUAUGCUGGUAUGAAGUUGGAGAGAGACCAUUACUUGGUCCAGACAUAGUGAGAGAGAAUGAUGAGAAGAUCCAACUAAUCAAAGAAUGACUCCAGAUUGCACAAAAUAGGCAAAAGAGCUAUGCUGACCGGAAUAGGAGGGUUAUGCAAUUGGCAGUAGGAGACUUGGUGUAUCUAAAAGUAUCACCUAUGAGAGGGGUUAGACGCUUUGGAAUCAAAGGAAAGUUGAGUCCUAGAUAUGUUGGGCCAUUUAAAAUUUUGGAGGAAAAGGGAACAUCUGCUUAUAAGUUGGAGUUACCAGAACGUUUAUCAAGAAUUCACAAUGUCUUCCACAUAUCUCAACUUAAGAAAUGCAACAAGCCACCACCACAAGUAUUAGACUUGGAAAUUGAAUUACAACCAGACCUGACGUAUGAAGAACGACCAUUGAAGAUCUUAGAAGUUGAAGACCGCAAGCUCAGGACAAGGACCAUUCGGUUCUGCAAAGUGCAAUGGAAGAACCACUCAGUUCGUGAGGCGACGUGGGAGAAGGAGGAAGACCUACGAGUAACCUACCCCAACCUUUUUAAGUAAGUUUUCGAUUUCGAGGACGAAAUCUUUUUCUAAGGAGGGUAGGAUGUAACGACCCGUAUAU
rnacentral:lncRNA from 1 species